GACGUAGGGCGCGAGCGUUGUCCGGAUUUAUUGGGCGUAAAGAGCUCGUAGGCGGCUCGUCGCGUCGACCGUGAAAACCCGCGGCUUAACUGCGGGCUUGCGGUUGAUACGGGCGGGCUAGAGUUCGGUAGGGGAGACUGGAAUUCCUGGUGUAGCGGUGAAAUGCGCAGAUAUCAGGAGGAACACCGGUGGCGUAGGCGGGUCUCUGGGCCGAUACUGACGCUGAGGAGCGAAAGCGUGGGGAGCGAACAGG
rnacentral:rRNA from 1 species